AACGAACGCUGGCGGCGUGCUUAACACAUGCAAGUCGAACGCGAAAGAAUUCUUCGGGAUUUGAGUAGAGUGGCGCACGGGUGAGUAACGCGUAAGUAAUCUACCCUGGUAUCCGGGAUAACCCACCGAAAGGUGUGCUAAUACGGGAUACGCUGAUUUAUCAGGAAAGAUGGCCUCUUCAUGAAAGCUAUCGUACCAGGAGGAGCUUGCGUACCAUUAGCUAGUUGGUAGGGUAAUGGCCUACCAAGGCGACGAUGGUUAGCGGGUCUGAGAGGAUGAUCCGCCACACUGGAACUGAAACACGGACCAGACUCCUACGGGAGGCAGCAGUGAGGAAUAUUGCGCAAUGGGGGAAACCCUGACGCAGCGACGCCGCGUGGAUGAUGAAGGCCUUCGGGUCGUAAAAUCCUGUCAGGUGGAAAGAAGUGUAGUAUGCCUAAUACGUGUACUAUUUGACGGUACCACCAAAGGAAGCACCGGCUAACUCCGUGCCAGCAGCCGCGGUAAUACGGAGGGUGCAAGCGUUGUUCGGAAUUACUGGGCGUAAAGCGCGCGUAGGCGGUCUGUUAAGUCAGAUGUGAAAGUCCACGGCUCAACCGUGGAAGUGCAUUUGAAACUG
rnacentral:rRNA from 1 species